rnacentral:rRNA from 1 species
AGAGCGCACGGUGGAUGCCUAGGCACUAAUAGGCGAAGAAGGACGCGACUAACAGCGAAAUGCUACGGGGAGCAGUAAGUAGGCAAAGAUCCGUAGGUAUCCGAAUGGGGAAACCCACUAGUUAGAAGAGCUAGUAUCGUAUAAUGAAUACAUAGUUAUACGAGGCGAACCCGGGGAACUGAAACAUCUAAGUACCCGGAGGAAAAGAAAACAAAAGUAAUUCCCUAAGUAGAGGCGAUUGAAAGGGGAGGAGCCCAGCACCAAGAAGAGUUAGAAAAUCUUUUUAUAGUAGAAUUGUAUUGGAAAAGCAAGACAAAGAAGGUGAAAUCCCUGUAUACGAAAUAAAGAGAUCUCGGUGUCGGAGUAGGGCGGAGCACGAGGAAUUCUGUCUGAAGAAGUGAGGACCAUCUCAUAAGGCUAAAUACUCAUUAGUGACCGAUAGUGAACCAGUACUGUGAAGGAAAGGUGAAAAGAACCCCUGGCGGGGAGUGAAAAGAACCUGAAACCGUGUGCUUACAAACAGUUAGAGCCCGUCAAAGGGUGAUAGCGUGCCUUUUGUAGAAUGAGCCGGCGAGUUACGUUAAUGUGCGAGGUUAAGUUUUAAGGGACGGAGCCGAAGCGAAAGCGAGUCUGAAGAGGGCGGAAUAGUAGAUUGACGUAUACCCGAAACCGGGUGAUCUAGCCAUGAGCAGGUUGAAGCUUGGGUAAAACCAGGUGGAGGACCGAACCAGGGUCUGUUGAAAAAGACUUGGAUGACUUGUGGCUAGGGGUGAAAUUCCAAUCGAACCCGGAGAUAGCUGGUUCUCCCCGAAAUAGCUUUAGGGCUAGCGUUAUGGAGAAGAGUUAUACGAAGGUAGAGCACUGAAUGGGUGAGGGCCUCAUCUCGAGGUACUGAUCUCAAUUAAACUCCGAAUGUCGUAUAAUAUACAUAGCAGUAAGACUAUGGGUGAUAAGGUUCAUAGUCAAAAGGGAAACAGCCCAGACCGCCAGUUAAGGUCCCAAAAUUAUGCUAAGUGGGAAAGGAGGUGGAGUCGCAUAGACAACUAGGAGGUUGGCUUAGAAGCAGCCAUCCUUUAAAGAGUGCGUAAUAGCUCACUAGUCGAGUGAUUCUGCGCCGAAAAUGUAUCGGGGCUAAGCAUAAUACCGAAGCUGCGGAAUUAGGAAAGAAAGCCUAAUUGGUAGGGGAGCGUACUAAACACGAAGAAGGUUGACCGGGAGGGCAGCUGGAGAGUUUAGCAGUGAGAAUGCCGGUGUGAGUAGCGAUAAGAUGGGUGAGAAUCCCAUCCGUCGGAAGCCUAAGGGUUCCAGGGGUAAGGCUCGUCCGCCCUGGGUAAGUCGGGACCUAAGGUGAGGCCGAAAGGCGUAGCUGAUGGAUAUCAGGUUGAUAAUCCUGGACCACCAUAGAGCUGAAGGAGUGACGGAGGAGGGAAGUUAGGAUGGACUGGUGGAAUAGUCUAAUGAAGCACAAAGAGGGAUACGUAGGAAAAACCGCGUAUUAGAACCUUGAAGUGUAAACCGCAAGGCCUAAUGGACCACACUUCCAAGAAAAGCUUCUAGGAAUACUUUAUGGUGCCCGUACCGUAAACGGACACACGUAGGCGAGGAGAGAAUCCAAAGACGCGCGAGAUAAUUCUUGUUAAGGAACUCUGCAAAAUGACCCUGUAACUUCGGGAUAAAGGGGACUCUAGAGAUAGAGGCGCAGAAAAUAGGCCCAAGCGACUGUUUAACAAAAACAUAGGUUUCUGCUAAAGCGAAAGCUGAUGUAUAGGAGCUGACGCCUGCCCAGUGCUGGAAGGUUAAGAGGAGAUGUAAGUCGCAAGGCAAAGCAUUGAAUUGAAGCCCCAGUAAACGGCGGCCGUAACUAUAACGGUCCUAAGGUAGCGAAAUUCCUUGUCAGGUAAGUUCUGACCCGCACGAAAGGCGUAACGAUUUGGGCGCUGUCUCAACAAGAAACUCGGUGAAAUCAUAGUACCUGUGAAGAUGCAGGUUACCCGCGAUCAGACGGUAAGACCCCAUGGAGCUUCACUGCAGCUUAAUAUUGAUAUUGGGUGUGUGAUGUACAGGAUAGGUGGGAGACGAGGAAGCGAGUACGCUAGUAUUCGUGGAGUCAACGUUGGGAUACCACCCUUCAUACAUUUAGUAUCUAACUAGUAUCCAUGAGCUGGGUAUAGAACAGUGU